UUUCGACGCCCCCAGCAGCUUCGUUCUUACCCGCAGCGGCUCCUUCUCGCUCCUCCGUCGCCAUGGCGGCCUCUUAGUGGUCGCCAUGGAGACGUUCGACACGGGCCGGGGCCCAACUAGCGCUUCUCUCACCUUUCCUGGUCGCCGCCCGGAGAUAAACGCGCUGCCUCCCUCCGGCCCUUCAGGUUGAGGCGUAGUGUCAUCGCAGAGAAGGAAUCUCCAAGAUUGACUUCACUCCAGUUCUUUUGACAAGUUGAAGAAGGUGGGCAUUACCCAGGAUUUUUGUAUUUCUGCUCUACUCUUCUGUCACAGCAGCUAAUAGUAAUGUUUGGCAGUGCAGGGCUUACUUGCAGGAGUGGAUCAGCUUCGAGAAGAAUUAUUGCUGUUAUUUCUUGUCUGCAAAGCUAGAAGAAAAAAAUCAAUAUUAAGAUGGAAUUGGUCUUCAAAUGGACAGAAUAUUUUAGGUUAAGCAUCUACCAUUUAGAUAUAUUAUUUUCAAAUAGUUUAUUCUGGUUUUGAAAAACAUAUUCUUAUUUAAUUUGUUACAGCAAAUAUAAAACAGUAUGAGACUAUGGAAUACAUGCCUAUAACUUGAAAGAACUGCACUGGUAGCACCUCUUCCCCUUAAUACAUUGUUCUUCUCAGAUCCUAAACAAAGAUCCUUGUAGUAUCUGUAUGGCACUAGAUGAAAGGUUAAGUUUUAUUGUACUGUAUCUUGGUUGUUGCAUAUAUGAAUAAACAGUUUAAGGUAAUAUGUAUUAUGUUGGAUAAACUAAAAAAGAUCAAUCAUGCUUAAUAGCACCAUCUCACAUCUUUUGUUAUCAGAAAAAAAUCCACUGUGUCCAAAGGAACUUAUGUUCAAAGAGCUGCCCUUCUAAUUCCACUGUGAUCAGUGUAAUUUGAAUGCUUAAUAUAUUUAUACAUUUUUAUUUCAAUGAGAAUUUGUAUGGCUCGUUGUGAGCGAUGCCUUUUUUGGUGUAAUCCUAUCCAUGUUUAAUCUUUAGUCUGAAGUCUAUGUUAGUUCUACUUAUUCUACAGCAAUUACAUAGUAUGUAAUAUUGUAGAGUUGGUAGAGAAGUAUGCUUUCUUGAGACUAAUAGGAAAUAUUGCAAGAAACAUCUUUAAGACCCAACUAAUGAUAAAAAAAUAACAAAAUGCUUUUUUCCUUCUAAACUAGAUGGUGAAAUUGCAAUUCUUAGCUAUCAUUUAUUCAAGGAUUUAGAAAAUCUUGUCCCUUAAUUUUUAGUGUCUCUUAUCUUCUAGAUCUGACA